rnacentral:rRNA from 1 species
UUCGCAAUGCCCGAAAGGGUGACGAAGCGACGCCGCGUGUGGGAAGAAGGCCUUCGGGUUGUAAACCACUGUUGGGAGUUAGGAAGUGUGGAGGUGUUAAUAGCGCUUUCACUUGACUAAAGCUCCAGAGGAAGCCACGGCUAACUCUGUGCCAGCAGCCGCGGUAAUACAGAGGCGGCAAGCGUUGUCCGGAAUUAUUGGGCGUAAAGAGCACGUAGGCGGCUCUGCAAGUCAGCUGUGAAAGCCUUCUGCUUAACGGAAGAACGGCAGUUGAAACUACAGGGCUUGAGUGCGGGAGGGGAGAGUGGAACUUCUGGUGGAGCGGUGAAAUGCGUAGAUAUCAGAAGGAACGCCGGCGGCGAAAGCGGCUCUCUGGUCCGUAACUGACGCUGAGUGUGCGAAAGCUAGGGGAGCAAACGGGAUUAGAUACCCCGGUAGUCCUAGCCGUAAACGAUGGGCACUAAGUAGAGGGGUUUU